GCGGCCCUGCGGGGUCCGCGGCCUGAGCGCGGCGAGGCCCGGGGGAGCGGGAAGGCCUCAGGGCUGCUGCAGGGCCCCGAGGCGUCGCCCCUCACGAGGGACAGAGCUCCACCGCUCUGCUGCUGCCCCAGGCCUGACCGUGAGACUACACAGCAGGUGCUGUGUGGCACGGCUGUGAGCCCAGCAGUACCGGGCCUCUGUGAAGGCGUCAAGGAAGGUGAUGGAGGCCUGUGCCGCUUCCCACCGUCUGCACAGCGGAUGUGUGGGGAAGGCCUGUCCCCAUCCCGCGGCGCUGGAGGAGCCCAGGCUGAGGGAUCCACAUUGGCAGGCACAGAGAUAGGAGCGGGGCUUUGCAGUGACACGGCCUGCAGGAGUGCAGUGCUCACCCCGUGACCAACAUGGCUGGUUUCCUUCGGGCCUCCCUUAUUGCACAGAGAAGCAUAUCGAUGCCAAGGAAUUUCCAUCUCUCUGUUGUGAAUCAUUAACCGGGAAAUCCUCCAGGUUAUUAGGAACAACAUCCCCCAGGGCUCGAUCUGCUGCUAUCUGCUCCUGAUCAAAGGAUGACAGAGGUGGUUUCUAGGCAGAAGACUGGCUUACGCAUCCUGUAAAACCAUCACAACCAUCACAGAGCCCUUCUCCUGGGUGCCCUGCAGACACUGCUGCCCACCAGCCACCAUCCGAAAGCUCGCAGAUAGCUGCUGGAAGCAGCAAGCUCACCCUGCGUGGUGAUCCUGCAGAUUAACUGACCUCACGAGGUUCAUUAUUGGCAGCGGGGCUCAGCUGAAAGGUGAAGUUACAUGAUUAAGAGGUUUGAGUCUCUAAUGCACACUCUGGAUCGAUGAAUUAUCUUAAUAGCUAUCUUGUGAAAAUGUGAUGAUAAGCUUGGCCACACAGUGAUAGCAGACUGACCUUUUCCUACCUAACUUUUUGUUAUGAAUCUCAUACAUUGUUUUUUACUAUGUGUGUGGAAGACACACAUUUCAAAUUCUUGAUUAACUUGGAUCAGUCUCAAGAUUCAGCAUUCAUUUCCCUGUAUCUUUUCGAAGUGCAAGGCAACCUGUUUGAUGUCAUCAGGAAAUAUGACCUACUGUCCAAAGGUUAUCCCAGCCUACUUAAUUGCAAGAUUGUAUGCAAUUAAAGUGAAUGACCCUUGCAAACAACUUGCUAGUUGUUUUAUAAUCUCUGAAGAGUUUGGUUCUCAAUACAGUUUUUAAACCA